rnacentral:rRNA from 1 species
UACAGAGGUCCCAAGCGUUGUUCGGAUUCAUUGGGCGUAAAGGGUGCGUAGGCGGCGCGGUAAGUCGGGUGUGAAAUCUCGGGGCUUAACUCCGAAACUGCAUUCGAUACUGCCGUGCUUGAGGACUGGAGAGGAGACUGGAAUUUACGGUGUAGCGGUGAAAUGCGUAGAUAUCGUAAGGAAGACCAGUGGCGAAGGCGGGUCUCUGGACAGUUCCUGACGCUGAGGCACGAAAGCUAGGGGAGCGAACGGG